AAGCCCAUAGCAUAAUUGGUAGUGCGCAUCGUUGAUAUCGGUGUAGCAGAGGUUCGAUUCCUCUUGAGCUUA
rnacentral:tRNA from 1 species